rnacentral:sRNA from 1 species
CCUCGGUGACUUGCUGCGGACAGAUGAAGUGGCAGUGGGCGUCGAUAGCACCAGCGGUGACGAUGAGCUUCUCGCCUGCGAUCGCCUCGGUGGCAGAGCCAACGACCAGGUCGGGAUGCACCCCAGCCAUUACGUCUGGGUUUCCUGCCUUCCCAAUUCCUUUGAUCUUGCCGUCCUUGAUGCCGAUGUCUGCCUGUUGAAACAUGAGCACAUCCCCCGCGCCGUACACGUUGUCAUUGUUGGUGAUUCCACUUGCCUUGUAUAUACCGGACCAGUCUACGAUGAGUGCAUUGGUGAUUACCAGGUCGAGGGUUUCGGCAGCCGAGCGGCCCGUGGCCUGGCCCAUACCCUCGCGGAUG